UGCGCAGGCGGUUAUGCAAGACAGAGGUGAAAUCCCCGGGCUCAACCUGGGAACUGCCUUUGUGACUGCAUGGCUAGAGUACGGCAGAGGGGGAUGGAAUUCCGCGUGUAGCAGUGAAAUGCGUAGAUAUGCGGAGGAACACCGAUGGCGAAGGCAAUCCCCUGGGCCUGUACUGACGCUCAUGCACGAAAGCGUGGGGAGCAAACAGGAUUAGAUACCCUGGUAGUCCACGCCCUAAACGAUGUCAACUGGUUGUUGGGAGGGUUUCUUCUCAGUAACGAAGCUAACGCGUGAAGUUGACCGCCUGGGGAGUACGGCCGCAAGGUUGAA
rnacentral:rRNA from 1 species